UAAGACACUGUGAAGAGAAGGAGUAGCUAAAUGUCUUAUUUAAAGCGAGUCGAAGAUGGUGUAAGUUCGAUAAUAAGCUUUAGUGAAGGGCAUCUCGGAGUGUUUUUUAUAAAGUGGACUUUUAUGUCAAUAAGGGUGGAACCGCGGAAGAAAACCUUUCGUCCCUUGC
rnacentral:ncRNA from 1 species